UAAAAUGUAUAUUUUCGACUUCUAUGCUCAGAAGCUUUGAACAACUCCGACAGCUGAAUAUAUACAACUGUAUGGGUUUGCUUGAGAUUAUUUCCGAAGGAGCAGAUCAAGUGCCACCUUGUUUUAUCUUUCCGCGGCUGACAUUUCUAAGACUACGUAAACUACCAGAACUUAGAUGUUUAUAUCCUGGAAUGCAUACUUCGGAAUGGCCGGCACUAAAAAUGUUGAAGGUCUUUGGUUGUGACAAAAUAAAGUUAUUCGGUUCCGAAUUAUCUAGCUUCCAUGGAAACAUUGAUAAGAAUCAGCUUCAUAUCCCAGCGCAACAGCCCCUGUUGUUGAUCGAAAAGGUAUAUAUGCAACCAUUUAUUUGAUUUUUUAUCAGUUGAGUCUUACUGUUUCUUAUGUUUUACGUUUGAUUCUUUGUUGCAAAGAAACUCACAAACAAAAGAUUUUAGAAAUACCCACUGUACAUGUAUGUAUUGCUCAAAAUUGUUUGACAGAACAUCAAUAGAACUAAUUAGUUUUUAUAUGAGUUGAUGAUGUUCAGAUCUUCCCCAGCUUGGAGAAACUCCUAUUAAGUGGAAAGGAUUUCAGGAUGAUUUUGCAGGGUGAUUACCCACAAAACCUAUUUGGCAGUCUUAAAUACAUUAAGGUUGCGGAUGAUGACUCAGCUUGUUUUCCACUUGGUUUACUUGAGAAAUUUCAAAAUCUGGAAAUCCUCUUUCUGAGUUGUACUUCAUACACAGAGAUAUUAUCAAAUGAAGGACACUCGGAGAAGCACGUGGGCAAGUUCUCACAAGUAAAACAUUUACAGCCGUACAAACUGAAUGAUCUGAAGCACCUAUGGAAACAAGACUCCAAACUGGACUCCAUUCUUGCAAAUCUUGAAAUUCUACGAGUAUAUUGUUGUCAAAAUCUGACUGUUCUAUUGCCAUCAUCAUCGGUAUCGUUUUGGAAUCUAACAGAUCUGCAAGUUUGGGGCUGCAAGAAAUUGAUGAAUUUGGUAACAUCCUCCACAGCAAAGAGUCUAGUGCGCCUCAUGACAAUGAAGGUGUGUGGGAGCAAAGUAAUGACACAAGUGGUGGUAAGUGAGGAAGAUGGAGCAGAAGAUGAAAUUGUUUUCAGCAAAUUGAAGACAUUGUCUCUGCUUGAUUUAGAUAGCCUCACAAGUUUCUACUCUGGCAAUUACACCUUCAAAUUCCCAUCUCUACAAGAUUUAGAAGUGAUUGGUUGUCCCAAGAUGAAGAUUUUCACCACAGGAGAAUUAUGCACACCGCCGAGAGUAAAUGUCUGGUAUGGAGAGGGAGAUGGUGAAUGUCGUUGGGCUAAUGACCUUAACGUUACGAUACAAGAGUUGCAUGCUGAAAAGGUACGGUUAACCCACCAACUUAACUCCCAAGGAAAAAUUUUACAAAUUUGCACUUUUUAACAAAAUUUAGAAAAUAGAUCAUGGACAACCAAGUUUGACUCAUUAGAAUAUUUAUUAUUGAGUAAGUGCAUGAUCGGGUUUGAAAAAGUAUGAGACACUUCUGUAUGUAGUUCUUGAAACUGUCCAAUUUAAAACAGACAUAUUCAAUUCUCAAAAAUUCAUGAAUCAUUAGUUUUAACUUCAUAAUAUAAAAGUCGUGUCAAAUUAAUGAAUGAGAAUUUUGUUUUCAGAUGUUGGAGGGGUCGUCAUCUAACUUGAGGAAGUACGAUUGGUGAUCAUGUUGGCUUUUUAAUUUAUUACUUGGAGUUGUGAAUUUGAAGAAUAAAGUCCCAGGUAAAUAAUUUAAUUUCCCUUAUUUGAUCUCAUAGCUUGUUUCAUCGGUUCACCUGAACUAUUUAGAUUGCGUCACUGGUUUAUUGUUAACUUUAAAAUGAAGUUUUAAUGUUUCAUUCGGGGCUUUAUGAGCAAAUUUUACAUCAUUGAAUGUCCUUUGGUCUGAACUUUUGAGCUUUUUGUUUGAUAGUCAAGGCUUUAUAGUAUGCUAUUUAUAAUUCCUUAAGAAUGUGCAAAAUUUUUUAUGAUAAAAUUGCUUGAAUAUGUCAUUGAAAGGAACUUCUAUGUUGCUCUUUAUGAUUACAGAGUUCUCAAUGUUAUCACUCUUCUUUUGCAGGAUGUGGAAUCAAAGAUACUUUUCUAUGAAAUUUGUGUUCCUUGUAUUAAAAGUUUACAUGCUGAAGGGCUUCCUGUGUUAUCUUUGCUGUUCUACUUGUGCUUUACUUCAUUGUGUCGCUACAGCUUUGUGAGUGUUAUGUUAACUAUUGUUUCCUUCAUUUGGGCAUUGUAAGUUUCGAAGGCGCUACAUUGCUUGACUAAAGAUGCUUAAAUUUAUCAUCUGUUUGUACCCCUUGUAUUAUAUACAAUAAAUUUUUGAUGUAUUUUGACAUUUAAUACGAGAUAUGUUUGAAUUUUCAUUGAAAGGUUUCAUAAUUGUUCAAAUUUAUCUUCAAUUUUAUUUUUGUUAUCUUGUUGGAACCAAAUUGACAACCAAGAUCAAUUUGGAACACCCAAGAUCCACUCUAAGAAACUUGAUCUUAACUAGGUCUGAUACUAGACUGAGUUUAAGAAGAAAUUUGCUUAGGUAAGUGGAAUCAAACACAACUCAAGGAACAAAAGCAGAAAAGAAAGAAAACAGAUCUCACACACAGCACCAAGAUUUAUAGUGGUUCGGCCAUUUUCUUGCCUAUAUCCACUGUGAAAAGAGAAGCAAGCUUUCACUGAUUUCAGAGAUUACAAGUCACAGAGAUGAAGAGUAUGUGUAACAGAAUCGAAACCCCUCAGUAACAGAUCAUAGAGCCUGUUGAUGCGGGAUUCCGGUUCUCCUCGUUCUACGACCAGGAUCUCUGCUCGAUCAACUUCAUCACGACCAGGAGGUCUCCUCGUAAGGCUUCUUCUCCAGAGGUUCCUGCGCACACAGACAAGUCAGAGUACGCCGGUUGUUUUCCCGGCGCAAACCCUCCGACGCUCAAGUCAGAUAUGAAGGUUCGGGGAACGCUUGCCACAGAUCUUAUGGCUUUUUCGUGGUUUUCUCUUCUUUUGAAUUUCUUUUCUAAUCUCAAAAAAAAAUGCCAACCCUUUUACCUCGUUGGCUACCUUUUUAUAGGCUUCCUCUGAAUCCCAGUUUUCUGCUUUUUUCGAGACGGUAUGGGACUCUGACUGCUGCGUUAUGGGCAAACGUGGGAUCUUGCGUGUUACGCCACGGUUCUGGGGAAAGCGUGGCUGUCGUGGUUCUGUGAGAUCUUGUUUCCGCUUUUUGGGGGACGGUAUGGGACUCCGACUGCUGCGUUAUGGGCAAACGUGGGAUCUUGCGUGUUCCGCCGUGGUUCUGGGGAAAGCGUGGCUGUCGUGCCUAGAUUCUCGGGCUGGAGAGCAUGUCUUGCCAACUGCCGUCGACCGGGUCUCCUCGCCUCUCGACCUCUAGCCGGAAUGGCCUUAUGCCUCUUACAGGAAAUUGGCCUCGCGGAUGACGUGCUCGUGGACGAGCAGGAUAUUUCUGCUCCUGUUCCCCCGCGCACCAGGCUUUUACGGAACACAUCGGUUCGCAGAACUCUGCCAUCAGAUAUCUGCUCACCAUGCCUGGUCUCGUCGACGUAUUUCUCCCAAACACCGGUCCCCCAGUUUCUGGUGUUGGGUAAUGUAGUGGACCAGCAGUAGAAACUCGAUAGUACUCGCUCGCAUGGGAUUGGAAAAGGCUGCCAAGAGUCAUGUUGCAUUUAAUUGCGGACGAGGUGACGUGGCAGAAAUCCCCCCCUCCAUUUGAAUUUCAAACCGACGGUUAUGAGACCCUCGGGAUUCGGCGCUGUUACAUGCUGGCAACCCAAGAGUCCGUCCUCAUUAGGAAAAUCAAAUCCUCUCGAACGGCAUAUUCAUCAUUCACUCCGUCUCCGUCUCUGUCUCUCCGGCAAAGAAGUUCCGGCAUAAAAGGCCUCCAUCUCUGACUUUCACCGACUGAACCAUUACUUCAGGUAUUUCUUCUAUCUCCUUGGUCUCGGAUAGUUGUAGAUAAUUUCUCUUCUCUUCUGUUUGGGUAGUAGUUGGUGGUGUUGUGGUUAGAGUUUAGGGAAUGUCGAAAGGCAAAGAGAAGGUCAUUGAGGUUGAUGACGACGAGUUGGACUUCCUGCCUAGUCUGCUCACCGAUCCUGCUUUUGACCCCGGGAUCCCCUUAGAGCCCAUUAGGUCUAGUGUCGGGACUAGUGCUAGGAGGAUGUCUCCCCAAACAACCUCUAUGAGCGGAAGUAAUGGUGAGGAGAGAUCUUCUGGCUCCGAGGAUACUUUGAGUGAGAAUGGCGAAGGUGACUCUGGUGAGGUGUCUCCAUCCGGAACAUCACGACCAGAAGGACGGGGUACAGUAGGGGGUAGAGCCUUGUUGCGUGAUUAUGCCAUCGACUAUAUGACGUGCACGACCACGUUUGACGAGCUCGCCGACCUCCGUCUUAGGUACAGCAUUCCUGGUGAAAUACUUCUCAAGGUCCCAGGCAAGAAGGAUACCCCUAGCCGGCCUCCUAGGGGAUAUGUUACCCUGUAUCUGGAUAGCUUUAAGUAUGGGCUGAGGUGUCCCUUGCAACCUUACUUUGCCCGGAUACUUAGCGGGUUGAAUCUAUCUCCUGGUCAGUUGAACCCAAACGGUUGGAGAGUGCUCUCUGGUCUGUUCAUACUGUGGGACAGAUGUUGCCAAAGCGAGCCCACGGUCGACGAGGUGAUGCACCUGUACCAGCUGAAAAGCAGCCCAAAAGAUGCCGGCUGGUAUUACUUCCAAUCAAGUACCAAGACCAGGAAACCCAUAACCGAUCUCCCUACUGGUGGUGGUGGGAAUUGGAAGAGGAAGUUCUUCUUCGCAGGGGGUCCCUGGGGUCAAGUUGCACAGGUUGGUGGGAAGGACUUCCGUGUCCCACCCCGUUUCGUGGUCCCAGGUUGCCUGCUCGUAUUAGAUGUCUUGUCUCCCUUGUCGUUUGCGCUUUACUGGUUUGUCUAUAAUCAAAUGUUUGUUUGUGUUGCAGGUUCUUGGGGUGUCCACUUCCCGCUUGAACCUGACCAGCUCAAACAGGUCGAGGCUGUACUAGCCAAUUCCUGCUCGAGCCGAGAACUGUUAACUACAUACAACUUGCUCGAGUCUCGCUUGAUACUUCCUGGCCAUAGGAUGGAGGACGCUGUGAUUGGGGCUCUGACCCGAAAACGUUCUCGACCUCCAACCACGAAGAAGGACCAGAGUAAGGAUGCCCCUACUGCAAAGCGGGCCAACAUCGUGCAGCAGGUCCCACCCUUGAAGAUUUUACCUCCUGCUCCUGUAAAAGUCGGGGAAGCUAGUGGAGCAGCCACAGAUCCUGCUUCCUCUCCUCCUCCUGUCGGGCCUCGAUCUCGCUUACCUGACAGCCGAGCAGAACACCUGGUCCCUUACCUCAAUGAGUUAUCUAAACUCGUGAGCAAGAAGGACCUGAAGGACUUUGACGGCUGCACCUUGGGUGAGCUGGUGGGGGCCAUGCAGCAUAGCGCUUUCCACCUCAGCUGCAUGACCACCUAUUACAAGGCUAAGGUUGGCCGCUACGACCGGAAGAUGAAGGAGGAUAUUCAAUCGGCGACGACCAGAGCUGACGUUGCCGAGAAGAAAGCAGGGGAGCUGAAUCUCGAGAAUCUGAAGCUGAUAGAGCAAGAAUCACUUGCUCAAGCAAAAGCCAUUACCCUCGAGGAGGAGCUUACCAAGGUCAAGGAGGAUCUGCAAAGGCAGAAGGCUAUGUAUGAGGCUCAGCUCGAAUCUCUCCGCGACUCCCACCGAGCUCAGGUCGAGAACUUGGAGAGGGAGGCCGACAACCAGUACGACCAUGGACUUCGGCAUUCCUAUCGUUGCAUCAUGGCCGUCCUCGGGAAGCAACACCCUGAUCUGAAGAUGGAUGACCUUGCAGCUGGUGUUGCUCAACAUAUGGACGAGGAGGCGGCCAAGGAAGAUGCCGAAGGGGUAGAGCCGAUCGUGAUUGAGGAGGAAAACUCUCCUCCUCGUGCAGUCCCUACUGAUGUUGGCGAGGCGAGCACCCCCCCGGACGCAACUGGUGAUACCCCUCCUGCACCUGAGGAGGUCCAGCCAACCGAUGCUGCUGGGCUUACUGAUCCACCUUCUUCUUGAUAUAUUUCUUGUAUUGUAAUGAACAAUGCUCAUGAAGAUUAUCCCCUCUGUUAAUUAUUAACAAAUUAAAAAUGUUUUUUGAUUACUUUCUUGUGUUGUAAUUAUGAAUUAAUUUUCGUUUGAGAAUCUGCUUGUCUUUGUCUAGACGAGCAGGUUCCGGCUUGGCUCAUGGUUUUGCCACAUGCCUUUGAAGAUUCUUCAAUGCCUGGGAUUCGGCUCGCCUUCGCGCGGUCGAGCAGAUCCUGGCACGCUUGGCUUCUGUCUCGCCAUAAAACAGGCUUUGAGACUUGGUGAGCCUUUACAUGCCUUAGGAAUUUCUUCGAAUGCUUUGGAGUCUGCUCGCCUUCUCGUGGUCGAGCAGAUCCUGGCAUGCUUGGCUUCUGCCUCGCCAUAAAACAGGCUUUGAGACUUGACGGGCCUUUGCAUGCCUCAGGAAUCUUUUUCGAUGCUUGGGGAUUCUGCUCGCCUUCGCGUGGUCGAGCAGAUCCUGGCACGCUUGGCUUCUGUCUCGCCAUAAACAGGCUUUGAGACUUUGUCGAGCCUUUGCAUGCCUUGGAUUCUUCAAGGAUUGGGAUUCUGCUCGCCUUCUCGUGGCCGAGCAGAUCCUGGCAUGCUUGGCUUCUGUCUCGCCAUAAGACAGGCUUUGAGACUUUGUCGAGCCUUUGCAUGCCACAGAUAAUUUCUUCAAAGCUUGGGAUUCUGCUAGCCUUCUCGUGGCCGAGCAGAUCCUGGCAUGCUUGGCUUCUGUCUCGCCAUAAGACAGGCUUUGAGACUUUGUCGAGCCUUUGCAUGCCUUGGAUAAUUUCUUCAAAGCUUGGGAUUCUGCUAGCCUUCUCGUGGCCGAGCAGAUCCUGGCAUGCUUGGCUUCUGUCUCGCCAUAAGACAGGCUUUGAGACUUUGUCGAGCCUUUGCAUGCCUUGGAUAAUUUCUUCAAAGCUUGGGAUUCUGCUAGCCUUCUCGUGGCCGAGCAGAUCCUGGCAUGCUUGGCUUCUGUCUCGCCAUAAGACAGGCUUUGAGACUUUGUCGAGCCUUUGCAUGCCUUGGAUAAUUUCUUCAAAGCUUGGGAUUCUGCUAGCCUUCUCGUGGCCGAGCAGAUCCUGGCAUGCUUGGCUUCUGUCUCGCCAUAAGACAGGCUUUGAGAUUUUGUCGAGCCUUUGCAUGCCUUGGAUAAUUUCUUCAAAGCUUGGGAUUCUGCUAGCCUUCUCGUGGCCGAGCAGAUCCUGGCAUGCUUGGCUUCUGUCUCGCCAUAAGACAGGCUUUGAGACUUUGUCGAGCCUUUGCAUGCCUUGGAUAAUUUCUUCAAAGCUUGGGAUUCUGCUAGCCUUCUCGUGGCCGAGCAGAUCCUGGCAUGCUUGGCUUCUGUCUCGCCAUAAGACAGGCUUUGAGACUUUGUCGAGCCUUUGCAUGCCUUGGAUAAUUUCUUCAAAGCUUGGGAUUCUGCUAGCCUUCUCGUGGCCGAGCAGAUCCUGGCAUGCUUGGCUUCUGUCUCGCCAUAAGACAGGCUUUGAGACUUUGUCGAGCCUUUGCAUGCCUUUAGGAAUUUUCUCGGUUUCAAGCGAAAGAAAUUCCUCGACGUUCCAUUAAUGGCAGGAUUCGACUUACAUGAAAUUGUUUGGACAUAAAGCGUGAAAGAUAAACGAUAAUGAACAUGAGCAAAAAUAGCUUUCAAAUGUGAACAAGUCUUACUGGAAGUAUUUUCGGAGGUGUGCUGCGUUCCAUGGGCGUUUCACCUCGUGGCCGUCCGUGCGAACCAGCUUGUAAGCUCCGGGUCCCGCUAUCUGCUUGACUCUAUAUGGCCCUUCCCAAUUCGGUCCCAGCACUCCUUGAGUCGAAUCUUUGGUGCUCUGAUUCACUCUUCUCAGUACCCAAUCUCCGACCCUGAAUUGCCGUAUGUUCACCUUCUGGUUAUAAUACCGAGCAACCCUCUGUUGGUAAAUGACUGAUCGCUCGGCUGCUUGCUCCCUCCUUUCCGUUAGCAGAUCAAGAUUCAAACAUAUCUGCUCGUCGUUCUCCUGCUCAUUGAAAUGACCUGUCCGGUGUGUGGUCGUUCCUAUCUCAGCCAGCACGACCGCUUCAUGUCCGAAAGCCAAAGCGAACGGUGUCUCCCCAGUUGCGGUUUUGUGGGUUGUUCUGUAUGCCCAUAGCACACCUGACAGCUCGUCAACCCACGCACCCUUUUUUGCUCCAAGCCUGGUUUUCAAAAGCCUCUUGAUGGUCUUGUUGGCUGCUUCUACUUGUCCAUUCGAUUGAGGGUGAGCAGGCGAGCAAUACUUCAGCUCUAUCCCGAGGUUCUGGCAGAAAUCCCUGAAGCUGUGAUUAUCGAACUGCCUGCCAUUAUCCGUUACCAAGGCAUAAGGGAUCCCGUAUCGACAGACCAGGUUUCUCCACACGAAGUCUGUUGUUUUCUUCUCUGUGAUCCUGCUAAGGGCUUCUACCUCUAUCCACUUCGUGAAGUAAUCUAUAGCAACUAUCGCAUGUGUUGCUGCUCCUCGUGCCUUUGGCAAUGGGCCGAUCAGAUCAAUUCCCCAUUGAGCAAAUGGCCAAGGGGAGGCCAUGGAGGUGAGCUUCUCUGGUGGUUGGUUAGAGAAAUUUGCAAAACUCUGGCAGCUUACACAACUCCUGGUCUUCUCUUGCGCAUCCUGGUGCAUUGUCGGCCAGAAAUAUCCCUGCCUUAGAACCUUGUGGGCCAGGGACCUCCCGCCAGAAUGAUUUCCGCAAAUUCCUUCAUGUACUUCUCUUAGUACGUAAUCCGCGUCGUCCUCAUCCAGACACCGAAGGAACGGUAGUGUAUAUCCUCGCCGAUACAGUACCCCAUCAAUCAUCGUGUAUCUCGAGGCCUGGGCUCUAAUCUUGCGAGCUCGCAGCUUAUCUGGUGGUAAUACCCCGUCUCUAAGGUAUGAAACUAUCGGGUCCCUCCACGAGCAUUUUUGUUCUAUCCGCAACACCCCCAAAUUCUGAUCGAUACUUAGGCUGGACUUCACCUCCAGAGGGACCGACUUUGGCAUUUUUGGGUCGGCUACUGCUGCCAUCCUAGUCAAAAUGUCUGCUCGACUAUUCUGCUCCCUGGGGAUUUGUAUCACCUCCACUGCUUCGAACUUCCCCAUCAUCUGCCUGACUAUCUUCAGGUACUGCUCCAUCUUCUCCUCUCUUGGUUGGAAUCUUUCACUGACAUGAUUCGCAACCAGCUGGGAAUCAGUUCUGAUCUUAACCCUGUCUGCUUUCACGGCCUUAGCCAAUUCCAGACCUGCUAUCAAGGCUUCAUACUCUGCCUGGUUAUUUGUGGCUGCAAAUUCCAACUUUACAGCAUAAGAGAUCUCCUCCCCCUCUGGGCCUUCCAAGACAAUCCCUGCUCCUGAACCCCGCUCCCCUGAUGACCCAUCCACAGGCAUCUGCCAUACUUGAGUUUCGUCAUUGCCUAUAACUGCAUCUUGUUGAUCUAAGCAUACUUCGGGCUCUGUGAAUUCAGCUACGAAAUCGGCCAUUGCCUGGGCUUUUAUCGCUGCGCGGGGUUUAUAGUCUAUGUCGAACUCGCUCAGCUCUACAGCCCACUUGACGAGCCGACCAGAGGCAUCUGGCUUGUGCAGAGUUUGACGCAAUGGCUGGUUAGUUAUUACCGAGACCGGGAAUGCUUGAAAAUAUGGCCUCAACUUCCGAGCAGCAACCACAAGGGCAAGCGCCCAUUUCUCCAACGGUGGGUAUCUGGUCUCAGCGUCGAGCAGGGCCUUGCUGGUGUAGUAUAUCGGAUACUGAACUCCUUCUUCCUCUCUCACCAGAACAGAACUGGCGGCCCGAUCCGAUACCGCCAAAUACAGAUACAACUUGUCCCCAUCCCUCGGUGUGGACAGCAGCGGAGCUUGCUGCAAGUAUUGCUUCAAGUUCCGGAAGGCUUCCUCGCAUUCUAGGGUCCAUUCUGUUUUCUUUCCCCUCCUUAUCACUUGAAAGAAUGGCUGACACUUAUCUGUAGCCUUGGAUAUGAAUCUGCUCAACGCUGCCAACCUCCCCGUGAGGCUCUGCAUCUCCUUCAGGUUACGAGGAGACGUCAUUUGCACAAUCGCCUGGAUUUUCUCGGGAUUUGCUUCAAUCCCCCUAUGGCUCACCAUGAAUCCAAGGAAUUUCCCUGACUCGACCCCAAAAGCACACUUCUCCGGGUUGAGCUUCAUCUUAUACUUCCUCAAAAGCUCGAAUGUCUCAUCGAGGUGUCUGACAUGUUCCUUCGGGAUUUUAGACUUGGUGAUCAUGUCAUCCACGUACACCUCCAUGGUUUUCCCAAUCAAUGGCUUAAAGACUUUGUUCACCAGCCUUUGAUAGGUGGCCCCAGCAUUUUUGAGACCGAAUGGCAUUACCCUGUAACAGAACAAACCUUGGUUAGUGAUGAAAGCCGUGCUCUCCUCAUCCUGCUCGUACAUGGGGAUCUGGUUGUAUCCCGAGAACGCGUCCAUGAAGCUAAGCAGACCAUGUCCAGCCGUUGAAUCUACUAGCUGAUCGAUCUUUGGUAAAGGGAAGCUGUCUUUUGGGCACGCCUUAUUGAGGUCUGUGAAAUCCACACACAUCCUCCACUUGCCGUUUGCCUUCUUUACCAACACCACAUUCGAUAUCCACUCAGGGUAACUGACUUCCCGAAUGAACCCUGCUCUCAAGAGCUUCUCCACCUCGCCAUUUAUAGCCUCAUACCUCUCCUGGUUGAAGCACCUCCUCUUCUGCCUUACUGCCCGAGCACCUUUCUUUAUUGCCAGCUUAUGACAUGCUACCUCAGGGUCAAUCCCUGGCAUGUCUUCAUGUGUCCAAGCAAACACAUCAGCAUGAGCCUGUAAGCAUUUCACCAACUCCUGCUUUUGCUCUCCCUUAAGUCUCGACCCGAUUCUGAUCGUCUUUCCCGGGUUCUCUGGUCCCAGGCUUACUGUUUCCAGAUCCUCUACAGGUUCUUGUCUGCCCUUCUUAUUUUCCACUCGGGUAUCGAGGGAUGUUAUCUGCAUUGCUUCCCUUGCUGCCGAGGAGUAGCAGCUUCUUGCGAUCCUCUGGUCUCCUCGUACCACUCCUACUACCCCAUUCACCCGGUACUUCAGAGCCAGAUAAUGGUUGGACAACACCGCUUUGCUCAUCCUUAAAAAUGGCCGACCUAGGAUCAUUUGGUAAGGACUUUCCUCAUCCACUACGACAAAGUCCAGUAUCAUUGUUCUUUCUGUCGGGGAGCUCCCAAUUGUGAUAGGCAGCUCGACCACGCCCAGAGGGACCAGCUUCCCUCCUCCGAACCCCUUCAAGGAGGUAUUGGUGUAUUCCAACUUCCGGUCGGCUAUUCCCAUCUCUUCCAGGGUUGACUUAAAUAACACAUCAACUGAGCUCCCUGUAUCAAUCAGUAUCCGGUCAAACUUCUUGCUAGCGACAGUAGCCUUGAUGACUAAAGCAUCCUCGUGGGGGUAUAGAAUCCCUUCCUCAUCCUCAUCCGUCCACAUGAUUGGCACUUGCCUGACCCUUGCUCGUUUGGCUGCUGGGGUGUUGAAGAGUACCUCUUUACUGGUCAUGGCGUACCUAGCAUAAUUUUUCCUCGAUCUGUUGGAAUCUCCGGCCAAUGUUGGGCCCCCAGCUAUCACCCUUACUGCGGGCUGCUCGCGCCUCAAGUUUCUACCACUCUGCUCCCCUUCACCUGUUGUGGCCACCAUCGGGAAAGUCCCAUCCAUAAACUCGUCCAGGUACCGAUUUCUCACCAAAUCUUCGACCUGGGUCUUGAGAUCUCUACACUCUGCUGUGGUAUGGCCAUGGGUACCAUGGAACUUACAAUAAUGUCCUCUAUCCCUCCUGUUGGGUAGCUUUGUUAUUGGUGUAGGGAGGUGCAGCAGCCCUCGAUCCUUUAUGGCCUCGUACACCUCAUCCAGGGACAUUUUCAAGGAAGUGUACCGCCCAUAGUCCGGGUUCUGGUCGAUCAGGUGCACUGCUCUUUCUCUGUUUGCCCCGCUCUGAGUUGGGGGCGGUGGAAGUACUUCUGGUCUGCUCGCUCUGCUACCGUGGGGAUGUUGAUGAAGACCACCAGAUGCCGACUCAUGCCUUCUCCAAGGCUCCCUAGCUGGGGAACGAGGAGGUUGCGCCCUGCUGCGCUGAUACUGUGGUGGCCUCUGAUGAGGCUGGUAAGCAGUUACCCGACCUCCUGCUCCACUACCGGAGGCCUGGUGGUCCCUCCUCCUAAUCAGCCCAUUCCCCGGUAAUGCUUUCUUCUCUUUCCUCCCCAACCCUUCUAACUGGUCUGUCUUAAUCCGUGCAGCCUUCUCCUCUUCAAUCUCGAUGUCUCUCUUAGCCUGUUCGUAUGCGGCUGCAUACGUUUGAAUAGCUGGGCUUCUCAAAUUGUACCACAGCCUUCCUAUCUUCACCCCUUCUUUCAAUCCCCUUAACGCCUGAGGGUGGUUGAAGGCUCCCAAGUCGAGGACAGCCCGAUGAAACCUCUUGAUGAAUUCCCGAAGGGUUUCUUGCUCCCCUUGUUUCAUGUUUUUCAGCUCCAUCAUGUCAUCUUCCGGUGCCAUUGCCCCACUAAACUGCUCCGCGAAUUCCUGGCACAUCUGCUCGAAGGUUUUAAUGCUGCCCCGAGGAAGUUUCCUGUACCAUUCUCGUGCACGUCCCUCAAGGGAUAGUGGGAACACCCUGCACCUUUGGGAUUGAGAUAAUCCUUGUACCCCAGUUAUGUCGUUGAAGCGCUCUAUGUGCACCAGCGGAUCAGUUCUUCCCGAGUAUCUGAGGUUUGGGAGGCGGAAAUCUCUCGGAAUAACUGCCCUCAUGAUCUCUGCUGCGAGCGGUGAUUCUCCGUCCAGCAUUAUCCUCCAACCAGGGGCUCUGUUCCUUCCUUGCAUGUCGUCAAUUAUCUGCGCUAGUCUGCGCACUUCCUCCUCCAGCUGCACUGCACGACCAGGGUCACGUGCUGCAACUUGAUCCCGCUCUUGCUCUACAUCAUGCAAGUGUUGCCUCAACUCUGUUUCCUCUGCAUUCACCACCCCGUCGUCCUCGUCACCAGUCUGUCUUGCCGGGGACUGCUCUCUUUCUCUAUGAAAUUCUCCCCGCAGAGGUACGUUACCUCUCUCACCACCAAAUCUCCCGGUGGUUUGACUUCUCCCCACACUAUCGGGACCUGGUGCCACUCCACCGCCUCUCACCCUUCCCUCUUGGGUUACCCUUCGCUCGCUCCGCAGCUCAUGCAGGAUGGUUGUCAAGGUCUCCAUCUGCUUUUCCAUCCGUUCCAUCCGGUCGAACAUGACUUUUUCCCGUGCUUCACUGACUAUCUCCCUCAGCGUCACGGAAUCGUUAAGCCUCCUAUCACCCCCUUGUGCACUACUUCCUCCUGUCUCCAUCGCUUUUCACUUGCUUCACCCCUCUUCUUGCUAUCAACAGAAGCUUUUUGCUCUCAUCCCCACAGACGGCGCCAAAAUGUUGAUGCGGGAUUCCGGUUCUCCUCGUUCUACGACCAGGAUCUCUGCUCGAUCAACUUCAUCACGACCAGGAGGUCUCCUCGUAAGGCUUCUUCUCCAGAGGUUCCUGCGCACACAGACAAGUCAGAGUACGCCGGUUGUUUUCCCGGCGCAAACCCUCCGACGCUCAAGUCAGAUAUGAAGGUUCGGGGAACGCUUGCCACAGAUCUUAUGGCUUUUUCGUGGUUUUCUCUUCUUUUGAAUUUCUUUUCUAAUCUAAAAAAAAAAUGCCAACCCUUUUACCUCGUUGGCUACCUUUUUAUAGGCUUCCUCUAAAUCCCAGUUUUUCACUUUUUUCGAGACGGUAUGGGACUCUGACUGCUGCGUUAUGGGCAAACGUGGGAUCUUGCGUGUUACGCCACGGUUCUGGGGAAAGCGUGGCUGUCGUGGUUCUGUGAGAUCUUGUUUCCGCUUUUUGGGGGACGGUAUGGGACUCCGACUGCUGCGUUAUGGGCAAACGUGGGAUCUUGCGUGUUCCGCCGUGGUUCUGGGGAAAGCGUGGCUGUCGUGCCUAGAUUCUCGGGCUGGAGAGCAUGUCUUGCCAACUGCCGUCGACCGGGUCUCCUCGCCUCUCGAUCUCUAGCCGGAAUGGCCUUAUGCCUCUUACAGGAAAUUGGCCUCGCGGAUGACGUGCUCGUGGACGAGCAGGAUAUUUCUGCUCCUGUUCCCCCGCGCACCAGGCUUUUACAGAACACACCGGUUCGCAGAACUCUGCCAUCAGAUAUCUGCUCACCAUGCCUGGUCUCGUCGACGUAUUUCUCCCAAAUAGAGCCUUUUACAUUUCAAUCAAAACCCUCUAAAAGGACCCCAAACAAUCAGCUCACGCUCCUGGGUUUCUCAGCUAAGCAAUCCCAGCUGCAUCUGCAUCCCGCGUGAAUUAACUGAAUUAACAGCUUCUGGAACUGCUCAGGGACACUUGUCAAAUGCUCGUAUAAUUUGCUACUUCAAAAACCGACAUGACAUCACUUCCUUCCCCAAGCAUCAGACACGUCAUACACAUUCCCGAAUCCAGAUUUGAGCUUCCCCUCUUCAGCAUAUCUCAAAUACAUGUUAGGCCUUGCAUGCAUAGACGCACGUAAUAUCCCAGAAGAGUUUUAUCAGAUGAUUUUACUAUCAUCGUUGUUGUUGCUGCUCCCGCCGCCGCCAUUAUUACUAUUAUUAUACUACUACUUGAAAAUUUCAAGUAUUUUAGAUGAGAAAUUUAUUAUGUUAGAGAUAUUCAUAAUAUACAUGAUGCUGAAAUCAGGGAAUUUGUUGUCUCAGUUUGUUUUAUUUUUGUUUGCCUCGAAUCAAAUUUUGAAAUUUAAGAACUAUGGUAAGAGAUGGAACAAGAGGAGUUAAAAAAUUUGCCAAAAUUGAUGUAGCAAUGAAACAAUUGUAUCCUAACAUGUUUAGCAUCAUUCUACUUUAUGAUCAUUGUUGUUCCGUUAUUUUAGUUCUUGCUCUGUUUGUUCUGUUUCUCUGUUUAUUUCACUGGGGGUUUGCUUCACAAAAUCUUACUUUCAAAAUUUAGAAGGCAAGGAAAGAGCGCUUAGAAAAUGCAAGAGGUAUCAAAUCAUGCAUUAAAAAACUUGUUGGCUGCUGGCUGGUCUAUUUCAUUGGCACCGAUCGAAUCAUUAUCCCUAAAAUAAUUAGGAGUCGGAGAUAUAAGUGUGAAAAUAACAGGAUCAUUUACAACAUGGAAAUCAGUCGCCAUUAGUAGGUGGCGCUGCAUAUGAUAAUAACAACUGAUUGAUACCAACAAAGUGUUGGCUCCACUGGUAAUGGAGUCCCCUUAAGUGGCUUGACUGGGUUUGCUCCCCAGUUCGAGUCGCAGGGAAGUCGCCUUUGUUGGGAGAAUCUGUGCCUCCCGGUUCGAGCGAAGACUUCUAGUCUGGGUUGUGGUACGGGCUUAAAGGUGCCUCCCACAGUUGGGGCCCUCCCCAGGAUACCUCGUGAUUAAUAUAAAAAAAAAAAACAACUGAUUGAUGAAAUUAAUGCCAUCAAUCUGCCUGUUAAUGUUGUUGACGCGUGUCAAAUUUUCAUGCAUAUUAGAAUUUAUUAGUGAGGUUGCAUUAUGGUCCAUAUCGUCAAUAACUUUAGCAGUCAAAUUUUACGCCACUGGAGUCAAAUUUUCAUGCAUAAAGCUGUUGGCUGGUCUGUUUGGCUCUACAAUGAUUUAUCUUUUCGACUUAAAAUGAUUCCAAAAAGCCAUCAGCAAUCACUAGUGCAACUCUUCAAAAAAAAAAAAUUAAAAUAAAAAUAAAAGUCUCAAAAAGUAUCAUUAAUUUAAUUCUAUUGUUUCCGGGUAAUCAGAACGUGUUUGAUAAAUAUUUAUAAGUUACAGUUUGAAAAUUAAGGUAGUUUUAUAUUUGAUGAAAUAUUAAAUUUUAAAAGUUAUCAUAAUCAAUAUAUUCUUAUUAUCAAAUAAUCUUAAUCAAAGACAAAACUCUGUUGCUCGGUGUAAUUGACUCCCAUUUUAUCUUUUUCUAAUUGAAUUGUAUUUUAAUCUAUAUUGCUUGUUGAAAAUUGAUAAGUAAUAUAGGUUUUAAAAUUUAUAUAUGUUCUAUUAAUCAUUAUUAUUUCUCUAAAACUAUCGGCUAAGGUGGAAUAAUUAUUCUUUCUGAAAUAAAACUAUGGUGUGUGUAUUAAAAAAAAAAUUAAAAUGAGCAUUUUAUUAUUUAGUCAUAUAUCAAUAUUAUUAGUAAAUUUAAAUUAAUAUCUUAUUUAUUGCAUCUUCAAAUUAGUUACAGUAGAUUAAAUAGAUUUUAUUUAACAAAAAGAUAUUGUUGACGCGUGUCAAAUUUUCAUGCAUAUUAGAAUUUAUUAGUGAGGUUGCAUUAUGGUCCAUAUCGUCAAUAACUUUAGCAGUCAAAUUUUACGCCACCGGAGUCAAGUGAUUUUUAAGCAGUUUUAUUCAACUGGUUACCUGAGUUCGAAUCUUAAAGAGAUAAAUAGUUAAAAAUGAAUUUAGACUUUGCCUACUCCUUUAAUAAAAAAAGAAGGUCAUUUAGUCUUAACUUUUGAAAUUUUUAUUUGACAUUUCGGCUUUAUAGCAUGCGAUGUAUUUUCUUAAAUUUUAUAAUUCCUUGAGAAUGUGCAAACAUUUUAUGAUAAAAUUACUUAAAAAUGUCGUUCAAACGAACUGAACUUUUUAUGUUGAAAGAAAGCCUUAUUAUUUUUCUGUACUUCUAUGUAAUGCUUUAUGGUUACAAAAUUCUCAUUGUUAUCACUCUUCUUGUGCAAGAUCUGUAAUGAAAGAUACUUUUCUGUCAAAUUUGUGUUCCUGAUAUUAAAAGUUCACAUGCUGGGGGGCUUCCUAUUUCAUCUUUGUCAUUCUACUUGUGCUUUGCUUCAUUGUGUAGCUACAGCAUUAUAAGCGUUACCAUAACUUAUCUGCAGCAAUUUUAUAAUUUACUAUUAUUGUGGUUGUUGCUGCUAUCAUUGUUCUACUAGUUGGAAAAUUCGAAUUCUUUUAGACGUGACAUUUAUCAUAUUAGAUAUUCAAGGUAUACAUACGUGCAUAUAUAUAUAUAUAUACUGGGUAUCUGUUUAGAUAUGAUGCAGAGAAAUGACAGAAGUUGUAUUAAGUGACGAAGAUUGAGCAGCAAAACAAGAGAUAGUUUUCAGCAAAUUAAAGACGUUGGCUCUGUUUGAUUUAGUUAGACUCACAAGUUUCUGCUCUGGCAAUUGCACUUUCAAAUUCCCAUCCUUGCAAGAUUUAACUGUGAUUGACUGUCCCAAGAUGAAGAAUUUUACUAGAGGAGAAUUAUGGAUGCCAUCUGGUACGGAGAGAGAGAAGAUGAAAGCCGUUGGGCUAAUGACCUUAACACAACCAUACAACAACUACAUGCAGAAACGGUAUGAUUAAUUCACUAUUCUAUCUCCAAUGGAAAAGUUUUACAAAAUUUGCAAUUUUUUAACAAAACGUAGAAAACUGAUCAUUGACAAGUUAGUUUGAUUCAUUAGAAUAUUCGCUAUUACUUUUGUAUUUAAUUCAUCAAACUGUCCUAUUUAAUAUUGACAUUUUCACAAAAGUUAGAUAAUGUUUUUCAAUUCUCACAAAUUCGUUAAUAAUUAGUUUUAAUUUCAUAAUAUGAAAAUCUUGUCAAAGAAAUUGUGUUAUUAAACUUAUUAAAUCUCUCGCUAGUGGCUUCCUUCCUAAUCUCCAUGUGCUUUAGUAUUUAUUUCCAAGUGCCUAAUUUUACGACUUUUAAUUUAGAUUAAUGAAUGACAAUUCUUAUUUUUUCAGCUGUUGGAGGGGCUUUCAUCUUAGUCGACUUUAUACAAGUAAUCUGAUCAAAUACAUUUUAGUACUUGGAUAAGAUGUGGAUUUGAAGACUAAAGAUCGCAGGUAACUAAUUUUAUUACUUAUGUACUUUUCUCAUGGUUUUGUUUCAUCGUUUCAUCUAAACUCUUUGGAAUGCAUUAAUUUUGUUUAUUGUUAAUUUGGAACGAAGUUUUAACGUAUCAUUCAGGGAUUUUGUUUGCAUCAUUGAGGGUUGUUUGGCCUUAACUUCUGAGGUUUUUGACAUUCAGCUUUAUAUUGUGCUAUUUUUUGUAAUUUUAUAACUUCUUGAAAGCAUGCAUAUAUUUUUUUUCUUAUCAUGAUGCCUCGAAAAUGUCAUUAGAAGGGACAGCAGUUUUCUUUUUCUUAUUUAUUUUCAAGUAUCUACGUUUGCGAAUUUUAGUUCAACUUGUUGAAUGGGAAUUUUGUUUUCAGCUACGUACAAGACGAUGCCGCUGCUGCUGCCAUUGUUACUGUCAUAGUUACUAUUACUCGAAAAUUUCAAGUAAUUUAGUUGUGAAAUUCAUUAUGUUAGAGAUAUUCAAAAUAUAUAUGAUGCUGAAAGAAAAGAGUGGACUUGUUGUCUCAGUUUGUCUCAUUUUGUUUUCUCCAACUCUAAUUUUCAAAUUUUAGAAAUAUGGUAAGAGAAGGAACAAAAUGAGUAAAAAAAUUGUCAAAAUAGUUGUAGCUAUGAACAAUUAUAUCCAAACACAUUUAGCAUCAAUCUACUUUGCCAAAUUUUUUAGUCAUCGUCUUUGCUCGGUUGUUUUAGUUUUUGCCCUGUUUGUUCUCUUUAUUUUGAUUGAGUUUGCUUUACAAAGUCUAUCUUUCAAAACUUAGAAGGCGAGGAAAGAGCGGGUAGGAAAUGCAAAAGGUAUCAAAUCAUGCAUAUGGUCAAAUGCUCCUGUAUAUGAACACAUAAAGAACAAUUGAAAUAUCAUUCACCGGAUAACACAAACAAAUAAAAAAAAAAAAAAAAAAGAAGAAAGAGAGAAAAUCUAAUCGUCUCAUUAUCCCGAACACAAAUAAUUAAACCAUCAAAUGUUUGCAAUGAGCACAAUCAGAUCAUCUCUUUGGAAUAAUUACAUGUUGGCUUGGCCUAUUUUUUGGCCGGUAAAAAGGUUUUUGGCUGGAGCAUUUGGCCUUAACUUUUUUUUUUUUUUGAGUCUAUAUCAAUUGAUGCCACUAUGUCAAUAAUAAUUGGUAGGAAAUAAAUUAAUAUGUAACUAUAUCUUCUUAAUUAAUUAUUUGUUUUUUUAUCCAUUUACAUUGGAAAAAAGGGGUGCAGGGUCAGGAAGCUUCUUAGACGUGGCACGUUCAAAAGCUUUUUUUUUUUUUUUUGUCUGAACCACAUGGUCCUGAGUAGGCCCUAACUGUGGGAGAUACCUUUAAGCUCAUACCACAAUCCAAACUAAUCUCCACUCGCACCAGGUCGGCCCGUAAGGGAUAAAGUACUGGCUAAAGUGGUGACUCCAUAUAAGAGCGGGGCUUGAACCUCUGACCUCUCUUAAGAAGUGAGAGUGCCGAACCACUCUGUUCAAAAGCUUUUCUUUUUUAAAAGCUGCGUCAAGCAUGACACGUCAACAUCAUUUACAAGUGGGAACAACUCUUUUUCAUAAAAGAAAAGCCUUUUUUGUUUUAAAAUAAAGUUUUUUUGGAUGAUUCACUAUUACUAAUUGCCCAAGUCAUUCUAUUGCGAAUACAUGCAAAUUAAUAAAGAGACUUGUGGGGUUGCUGGAUAGAAAUUGUUGAAUACAUACAAAUUAUUGAACAGAAAUCCAAUAAUUGAACACCGGCCAAUUCUUGUCCAAUCAAAUUAAAACUCAAUUAAUAUAUUCCACUAAAUUUUUCGUACAACAUCCUAUUCAGAUGAAUAAAAUGUAAAAAAUAAAAUAUAUAAUUCAAAAAAUUAUAAAGGAUGCAAUUUAGCAGGUCAUACAAUAUACCAACAUCAUUUACAAGUGGGAACAACUCUUUUUCAUAAAAGAAAAGCCUUUUUUGUUUUAAAAUAAAGUUUUUUUGGAUGAUUCACUAUUACUAAUUGCCCAAGUCAUUCUAUUGCGAAUACAUGCAAAUUAAUAAAGAGACUUGUGGGGUUGCUGGAUAGAAAUUGUUGAAUACAUACAAAUUAUUGAACAGAAAUCCAAUAAUUGAACACCGGCCAAUUCUUGUCCAAUCAAAUUAAAACUCAAUUAAUAUAUUCCACUAAAUUUUUCGUACAACAUCCUAUUCAGAUGAAUAAAAUGUAAAAAAUAAAAUAUAUAAUUCAAAAAAUUAUAAAGGAUGCAAUUUAGCAGGUCAUACAAUAUACCAAAAAAAGUCUUGGGGGUGCAGUGGGAAUAUUUCUUGACAGAAAGAGUCUUAAAAAUUUUUUCGCCAGAAAACAUUUUCUCUCUCUGAUCUCUGUAUUCUUCAGAUCCUCCUCCUUGCUUGAACGUCUGUAACUUUGUCAUCCAUGAUUUGCAUUCAAUUCUUGACGAAAAAACCUUUUUUCCGGAUUUUCAUCUUUUGAUCUCAAACAUGCUUUGCUUCUGUUGAUUGUGGUCGCUUCUAGUGCUAGUUCUCUUCUUAUAUAGCUUUGUUCCCUUUUGCCAUCAGCUCUUUGCAUUUCCUUGGAUGAAGAAACCUUUUUCUUGUUUCAAUUUUCUGAUCUCAAAAGCACUUUGAUUCUAGUCUGCCACACUGAUUUUGUCCUUGUUUUGUACAAACAUAAUUUCGCCAUUAUCUGUUUGAUUAUCAAUUGACCCGUCGUUGACUCUAUUCUAUUUCUAUGUGAAAAAUACGAAAAAAAAAAAAAAGAGAUUGAAGAUGGUGGAAAGCAUUGUUACUGUUGUUUUAGAAGUUGUGAAAUGCUUGGCUCCUCCGACACAACGCCAACUUGAUUACUUGCGAAACUACAAUGAAAACAUUCAGAAACUCGAGGCAGAAACCGAGAGCCUGAAGGUUGAAAUUAGGAGCAUUGAGCGCAGAGUUUUUGGGGCCGAAAAACAAGGAGAAAAGAGUGAAGAGAAAGUCGAGAAGUGGUUGGUUAGCGCCAACAAGAUCAUUGAUGAGGUGAAUGCCAAAUUCAUGGGAGAUGAAGAGACUGCAAAUAAGCGAUGUCUCAAGGGGCUGUGUCCUAAUUUGAAGGCUCGCUAUCAGCUUAGCAAGAAAGCAGAGACACAGGUGAAGGCCCUUGUUGAGUGCCGAGAAGAAGCCGGUCGACUUGAUAGAAUUUCCUACCUUACCUAUCCGGACAAGAUAUGGCUCAAGUCCCACAAAGGUUACGAGGCCUUUGGAUCAAGGCUUUCUACUUUGAAGUGUAUACAAAACGCUUUGACUGAUGUUAAUGUCAGCAUCGUUGGAGUGUACGGCAUGGGCGGCGUUGGAAAGACGACUCUAGCGAAGGAGAUCGUUAGGCAAUCCUUGGCAGACAAGCUCUUUGAUCAAAUAGCCUUUUCAGAGGUUUCCGAAACUGCAGACAUAAAAAAGAUUCAGCGGGAUAUUGCUGAGGACUUGGGUCUCGCAUGGCAUGAGGAAACUGAAUCUAGAACUGCGAGUAGACUGUAUGAACAGUUGAAGAAUGAGAAGAAGAUUCUUGUGGUUCUAGAUAACAUAUGGAAGCAUCUUGAUUUGGAGACUGUUGGAAUUCCUUUUGGUGAUGAUUAUAGAGGUUGUAAACUCUUGCUGACAGCAAGAGAUCGUAAUGUUUUGUUGGAUAUGGAUUCUAAACAUAACUUCUUUAUUGACAACUUAAAUGAAGAAGAAGCUUGGAGAUUGUUUAAGACGAUGGCGGGUGAUUAUGUUGAAAAUCGUCAGCUGAAAUCUACAGCAACAGAUGUAGCCAAGGGAUGUGGAGGCUUGCCUAUUGCCUUAGCUACAACAGCAAGGGCAAUGAGAGACAAGACUGUGCAUGAAUGGAAGAAUGCCUUGCGAGAACUUCAGACGCCUUCAGUGAUGAACUUCGAAGGACUGCCGGCAGAUACUUAUGCAAGAAUCGAGCUGAGUUUCAAGUAUUUAAAAGGUGAGCAGCUCAAGAAAAUUUUUCUGCUUUGUAGUCUAAUGGGUAAUCCUAUUUUUACUUCAGACCUGUUUAAAUACUCCAUGGGUUUGGGUAUACUCCAAGGAGUCAAGAAGAUGGAAGAUGCACGAAACCAAUUAUAUGCAUUGGCCUAUAAACUUAAAGACUCUUGUUUGUUGCUUGAGGGAGGUAGCAGCGAACAAUUUUCAAUGCAUGACGUCGUUCGCGAUGUUGGCAUAUCAAUUGCUUGCCGGGACCAACAUGUAUUUUUGGCAAAAAAUGAGGAUGUGUUGGAGCUGCCGGACAAGGAAGCACUUGUAAAUUGCUAUGCGAUUUCUAUAAGUGGUUGCCGUAUUCAGGAGCUUCCUCAAGGAUUGGAAUGCUUGCAACUCGAACUUUUAUAUAUAUCUCCCAAAGACUCUUACCUUCAAAUCAAUAUUCCUGAGAACAUUUUUGCAGGGAUGCGGAAGCUUAGAGUUGUAGAUUUUACUGGGAUGCAAUUAUGUUGCUUGCCAUCUUCAAUUGAUCUCUUAGUAAAUCUUCAAACACUAUGUUUGGAUCAAUGCAUGUUGAGUGACAUAGCAAUUAUUGGAAGGUUGAAGAAUCUGGAAAUCCUUAGCUUUUUAAAUUCAGAUAUUGUGCAGUUGCCUGAAGAACUAGGUGAAUUGACUAAGCUAAGGUUGUUAGAUUUAUCCAAUUGUUUCCAGCUAAAAGCUAUUGCACCCAAUGUCCUAUCAAGCUUAACUCGAUUGGAAGAACUCUACAUGAAAAAUUGCGUUAUCGAAUGGGAUGUUCAAAGACCCAAUGGUGGAAGAAGUACUGCCAGCCUUGGUGAGUUGUUGCAAUUGCCUCGACUGACCACUCUAGAAAUAGAUGUCAAAAAUGAUAGUAUUUUACCAGAAGGCUUUUUUGCAAAAAAAUUAGAAAGGUUCAAAAUAUCAAUAGGAGAUGAGUCAUUCAAGCCUCCGGUGCGUGCGGAUGAAUGGUUCGGUAGUCGGCCGGUUUUGAUCAGUGAUCCUUCGAGUCUAAGAACCAUAAAGCUGAAGCUUAGCUCAAAGCCUAUUUGCUCGAAGAAAAUGCAGGGCAUCCAAAAUGUUGAAUACUUGUGUUUGGACAAGCUGCAAGGUGUCAAGAAUGUUCUUUUAGAUAUGGACAUUGAGGGAUUUCUACAGUUGAAGCAUCUCCAUGUUCAAAAUAAUCCUGACUUCGUGUGCGUUGUUGACUCAACGGAGGGGGUACGUCGUGAUGUGUUUCCUCUUUUGGAGUCACUUACUCUUUACAAUUUGAUUAACAUGGAGAGGGUAUGUAUUGAUCGACUCAAAGUAGAGUCUUUCUGUGAACUUAAAACCAUACAGGUGGGAAAAUGUGAUGAGUUGAGUAAUAUCUUCUUGCUGUCUUCUAUAAGCUGCCUUCCCACACUUGAGAGGAUUGCAGUUUUUGAUUGCGAUAAGAUUGAAGAGGUCUUUGCAAUUGGUGGAGAACCAGAUGUCGACAACAAUAAUGCAGUGGAGAAGAUAGAGUUUGCAGCAGUAAAAUUUUUACAUCUGCAAAAUCUUCCGAAGCUUGCAAGUUUUUGCUCUGAAGUAAAGAGACCAAAUACACAAGGGUCGCAAGAGGAAUUGACAGCUACUACUUGCUCGACCGAAAUCAGUUUGUUGGAGGAGGACAAGCUUGAUACUUCGACACCGCUUUUCAACGAGAAGGUAAGCUGUUAUAAUGAAACCAAAGCAUUCGUUUUUCUUUCUCAACUUAUUCUAUCGUGCAUUUUCGUUUGAUGACAACUAUAGAAAAUGAAUUAUAAGGGUAAAAGAAAAUGAGAAUUGGAAAUUAGAAUCUCACACACUCACUCACUAAGCUCGCUUUACAUAUUAAUGAUGUGAAUUAAAUUGCAUAUUAAGUGUAUGUUUAGUAUGGUAAUAAUUCUCAAAAAAUCAUUUUUAGCACGGAUUUCUAAAAACUAUAUUUGAAAAAAGUUUAACACAAUGUUUUGUAAAUGGGUGAGCUAUUUGCACCUUAAAAAUUACUCUAAACACUCUAAUUGAAAUAAAAAUUUAUAACAAAAAUAUCUAUCAUAUGAAUUAUAUAAAGGACAAUUUAUUAUAAGUCAAUAUUACAUAAUUACUAUGAACGCCCCAUAUAACACACUCAUUAUUUAAUAUAUAUAAUUUUCAUGUUUUAAACCUUAAAACUUUUUUAUUUACAUCUUCAUCAAUACUUAGAUGAAUAAUGAUAAAAUCAAUAUUUUUCUUUUAUUUUUCCAUAAAUAAUCAAUAUCAAACGCGCACUGAAGCUGUCACUUGGAAGAAGAUUUGAUCUAACAAGAAAUUAAUGUUUAGGUUGUGUUCCCCAACUUGGAAGAUUUGGAGUUGAUUGGAAUUAAUGUCGAAAAGAUUUGGCACAAUCAACUUCCAGCCAUGUUCCCUCGCUUUCAAAGUUUAACAAAAUUAAUCGUGGGGAAGUGUCACAAAUUAAAAUGUAUAUUUUCGGCUUCUAUGCUCAGAAGCUUUGAGCACCUCCGACACCUGGAUAUAUGCAACUGUAUGGGUUUGCUUGAGAUUAUUUCCGAAGGAGCAGAUCAAGUGCCACCUUGUUUUAUCUUUCCGCGGCUGACAUUUCUAAGACUAGGUGAACUACCAGAACUUAGAUGUUUAUAUCCUGGAAUGCAUACUUCGGAAUGGCCGGCACUAAACUCGUUGAUGGUCUUUGGUUGUGACAAAAUAAAGUUAUUUGCUUCU
rnacentral:lncRNA from 1 species